GACUGGGGGAGAUCUGCGUAUCUGCUGCGACCCAGAGAGACAAAAAAUGUAUUCGAUUGAACAUUGUCCACGAAUAUAUUCACAUAUGUAUCCUUCAUUUAAUUCUCGCAGUGGUGAUCUUGAUUGACAUGAUAAGCCAGAUUAACUUGCCCAACGAGUAACCAUAUGCCAUCCCAUUAUGGUACGAAUUUGUUAUAGCGUGACCUUUGUCCAAUGUAAAUACGACUCGAUUAAUGUCAGAUACACGAGUAUUAAUCAUUAAUAAAUAUUUAUUAUCGAAAUUGCACAAACGUGUCAACAUAUUUAAUCCUCCGUCACAGAAUUAGAAUUUAAGCAAUCCGUUUUAUUUGUCACAGGUGCAUAUUGAUUUUUGUGAACAAUUUGACAGACGCUGAGAGAAAGGAAAGAUUAUGAACAGUCAUAAAA